UUAAUUGUCGGAUUGGUAUGCUUUUU
rnacentral:miRNA from 1 species